AGCGUACCCUGUUUCUGUACUUCUAGGCAGUUGCAAACUUCUACCGCGGCUUAUACAGAAGACCACGUAGCAAGUCCUCCUACGUCCCCAUGCCACGCACGGGAACCAAGCGCGUUUGCUGACGGAGCGAGCGCAAAUAAUCACUUUGGGCUGCCGCUUGGAUUUGAAAAGGUGUUAAUAAUUUCCGUGAUUGUAACAAACGUUCCGGUCACAAAUCCCAGCACUCCGAGUACCGAGAUGAAAAUGUUCUUGGCCCACAGCCAACUCCACAUGAGUUUGCCGUGGUCAGUCUCCCACAACGUGAAGAGCUCUAGCAAUGGUGGCAAGAUGAGUGCCAGGCUGCUGCUUGCCAGUGCACCAACCAAUGGGAUGAAGAGGUCCAGCCUGGGCACCGCAACGGCCAGCACGACUGUCAUGGUAACCAGCGCAGUGCGCACCAAGAAUUCGAAGAUCAUCACGACCCGCGGCGAAUACUUUCCCUCGUCGAGAGAAAAUCGCUGCACUACGGAGGGCCAGAUGAUCUGAACGGGCACGUACAUUUGCAGAGCAUAUGAGAGAAAGAUGGAGAUCGCAAAUAUAAGCCGGAUCACUUCGUUCAAC